rnacentral:lncRNA from 1 species
ACGAUUUUCCCCUUUAAAUCAAUUUAGACCUAAUGCAACUUCUUAGCCACGGAAGUCCACUUCAUAGUCGGACAAUCUGCUUGGGGCAGAUCUUUGUCGGGUUGGGCGACUUGUCUGGAAUAUCUUCGGCUCCUCCUCUUCACCGGCGUCGAGGUUCAGUUCAUCUUCUCCGGUCAGCUUUCCUUCCAAGUCUCGUGUUAAUGUUGUAGGAUCAAUUUGACUCGCUCGUAACAUGAUCUACCUCCUCUGGAUGCGCUUUGUCUUCAAGGUGUAACGACGGAAAGAGGCGUUGUAGCUUCCCAGGUUCUUCCCAUGAUAAAUCUUCAGGCAUUGCUCCGGACCACUGUACUAGGACCUGUUUAACUUGUUUGCCGUUCUCAUAGAUUGUUCUGUUAUCCAGGAUUGCGAGAGGGUAAAUAAUCGGCUGAUUUCGCACUGCUAAUAUUGGUUUCUCUGGUUGUGUUGCUGGAAUUGGUCCUUCAAAUUUUUUCAAUCUUGAAAUGUGAAAGGUAUUAUGAAUCUUGCUUCCAACUUGGUAAUUGAAGUUUAUAUGCUAUCUUGCUGAUUUUUCUUUCUAUUUUAUAUGGUCCAAAGUAUUUUUUGCACAUUUUAUUAUGAAGCAUGUUUGCCACGGUUAGUUGCUUGUAUGGAGUUAACUUGACCAAUACCCACUGUCCUUCCUCAAAUACUACAUCAGAUCUGUGUUUGUCAGCUGCAUUUUUCAUUCUGAUUUGUGAUCUUUCUAGUGUAGCUUUAAUCAACUUUAGAUUUUCCUCUCUUAAUUGCAAAUUCAUUUCAAUAGCAUCUACUCUUGAAUCACCACUAGAAUAGUGGGGUAUGAUUUGGGCCUCUCUCCCAUAUAGAGCUUUAAAUGGGGACAUACCAAUAGAUGAAUGAAAACUAGUAUAUUAUACCAUAAUUCCGCCCAUGGUAAUAAGGAUAGCCAUUUUUUUGAUCCUCGUGGCAUAGAGAUUUUAGAUACAUUUCUAAGCUUCUGUUCACUACUUCCGUCUGACCAUCACUUUGAGGAUGAUAAGCUGAUGAAUAAUGUAAGGAGGUGCCACUUUGCUUGUGCAACUCUUUCCAAAAAUUUGAUGUGAAUACCCUAUCUCUGUCCGAAAUAAUAGAAUUAGGUAUACCAUGUAGCUUAACUACAUUAGAGAUGAAUAAUUCUGCUACCAUGGAGGCCCCAAAAUGAGUUGGUAAAGCCAAGAAGUGGGAAUAUUUUGAUAAUCUGUCUACAAUGACCAUAAUCACUGUUUUCCCUUGGACUUUUGGUAGGUGAGUGAUAAAGUUCAUGGAUAUAUCCUUUCAAACUUCAAAUGGAAUUGGCAAGGGCAUCAGUAAGCCUGCUGGCUUCUGAUUUAUAGGCUUCAUUUGUUGGCAUACCAUACAAUUUUGCACAUAAAACUUUAUAUCCUUCAUUCCUUCCCCAUUCCUUUCCAGCAAAAUUGAGCAGAUAAUUUUUUGAUGGAUCUUUCAAUCCCAGAAUGAUCUCCCAAUGUGGAGUUAUGAAACUCAUUUAAUAAUUUAGGAAUUAAUUUCGAAGUUUGAGAAAUAAAAUACCUGUCCUUGAAUAAUAUUAACCCAUUUCUGAUAGAAAAUCCUUCCAUUCGAGCUUCAUUAUUUUCAAUUUGUUCAGAAUUGACUGUAACUCUGGUGUGCUGGAUAUUUCCUAUUUAAGCUCCAUAAUGAUGUCAUUAAUUGGAGCUGAUAAGGCCAAAAAGGAACCCGAUACUCCAUCCGACUUGUUGAUGAAUAGUAUCUCUUCUUCUUCCGAGUCAUUGAAUGAUCUAGACAAGGCAUUAACCACCUUGUUAUCCUUCCCGGGUUUAUACACAAUAGAAAAAUCAAAAUCCAUUAAUUUGCAUAAGAAGACUUGUUGUUCCGGUGUUUAUAUGACUUGAGUCAAUAGAUUUUUUAAGCUUCUAUGGUCUGUCCUAAUUAUAAAAUGAGAACCCAAGAGAUAAUGUCUUCAUUUACUUACAGAUUGGGUGAUAGCGUACAUCUCCUUGAUGUAAACUGAUGCUGCAGCCAUUUUGCCCGAUAUUUUAGGACUUUAGAAGGAUAUAGAAUGCUUUUCCUGAAUUAAUACUGCCCCUAUGCCUGUAUUGCAUGCAUCGGUUUCUACUUCAAACUGCUUAGAGAAAUCUGGGAAGCUUAAGACAGGAGCUGAUGUCAUUGCUUUUUUUAGAGCUUCAAAACUGUUGGUAGCUUCAUUUGACCAUAAGAAAAUAUCCUUUUUGAGAAGAUUUGUCAUGGGUGCCGCCAAUUGUGCAUAUCCCUUAAUGAAUCUUCUGGAGUAUCCUGUCAAGCCCAAAAAUCCUCUCAAUAUUUUCAGAGUUUUUGGUGUUUGCCAAUCAAUCAUUGCACUAAUUUUAUCGGGGUCAGGUUGGACUCCAAUUUCAGAAAUGAUGUGUCCCAAGAAUCCUAUAGUUUUCUGUCCAAAUGAACAUUUCGAUAGUUUAGCCAUCAAUUGAUUUUCUCUCAAGGUCUCGAAUACCUUUCUCAAGUGCAUAAUAUGUUCUUCUAAUGAGGGAUUGUAAAUAAGUAUAUCGUCAAAAAAAAUAACCACAAAUUUUCUUAAGUAUUUCUGAAAAACUGAGUUCAUUAGGGACUGAAAUGUGACUGGAGCAUUGGUAAGACCGAAAGGCAUGACCAUGAACUCAAAAUGCCCUUGAUGAGUUCUAAAUUAAGGUUGUUUUCUCAGUAUCUAUUGGGUGGAUUCUGAUUUGAUGGAAGCCCGACCUCAAGUCUAACUUAGAAAAAAUUAUGGACCCUUUAAGUUCACCCAACAGUUCAUCCACAGUAGGUAUAGGAAAUUUAUCAUUCACUGUUAGAGCAUUCAGUGCUCUGUAGUCCACGCAUAGUCUAUAACCACCGUCCUUUUUCUUCACCAAUAGUACUGGGGAAGAAUAUGGGUUGUUGCUUGGCUUGAUGAUUUUCUGAUUCAGCAUUUCAUAAACAAUCUUUUCAAUUUCAUUCUUUUGGAACUGUGGAUAUCUAUAGGGUCUGACAUUUGUAGGGGUUGAUCCUGGUUGUAAAUGAAUAUGAUGGUCUCUAUCUCUUUGUGGAGGGAGGCCACUAGGAUCUGAAAAUAUAUCGCUGAAUUCACUUGUAAUAUUAUGAAUUUCGGGACACUUCUGGGAUAAUAGAGAAUUGUUACAGUUGGGUGCUUCUGCCUCUAAAUAGCAUAGAUAGGCUUCACAUGUUUCUGAGGUCAGUCUUUUGAGUUGGCCAAAUGUCAUGGGAUCAUCGGAUAUCCAAGAUAGACCCUUCCAAGUAACCUCUUUUCCUUGCCAAGAAAAUUGCAUAGAUAAGACUUCAAAAUUCAGUGAGAAAUAUCCUAAUUUUUUUAGCCAUUGGAUUCCAAUAACAAUAUUUGAGUCAGCCAUUGGCAACAAGAAUAAAUCCAUAUGCACCAUCACUCCUUGAAUCUGGAUUUUUACUGAUCUGCACACCUUAUCAUAAAUUAUUUUCUCUCCACUACCCGUGGAUACUUUGAAGGCUGAAAUGGCAUGUAUAGUCACUUUUAAGGCUUGAGCUACCUCCUCUUGAAUGAAAUUAUGAGUGGAGCCAGUAUCCACUAAUACACUAGCAGUUUUGCAAUUAAUAACUCCCUCUAAUCUUAUGGUAUUGGGAUUGAUAUGUCCCUCAAAUGCAUUGAGGCUGAUCUCUGUGCUGCCCUGUCCAUUAUGAAUUUCUGUCAUUUCAUACUCAUUUUCGUUCUCUUCAACCUCCAAUAGAUAUGAUUGGUCAGCUGAUAGCCUGAAAAGUUUGCCCUUGUAUUUAUGCCCCGGAGUAAACUUAUCAUCGCAAUUAAAAAAGAGGCCUUUGGAAGUUCUUUCUUUUCUCUCCUCGGGUGAAAGCCUCUUAAAUACAGGUAAUUUACCUUUAUUUUCAGCAACCACAUUAGAUAGGGAUUUGGGCACAAAUGGAACUAUUGAUUUUGAUGUAGAACCCCCACUAAAUCUGUUUUGGCUCACUGCAGUGUUCUGAACAUUUGUUGGAGCUGAGCUUAUGGAUGUAAUAGCUCUGUCUGGUUGCUUUCCUUCGACUAGAAGGGCUAAGUCACCCGCCUCUUGGACAUCCUUAGGUUUCCCUUUUAGUACUUCUUUCUUAAUAGGUUCUUUGAGUCCUGAUAUGAACAUUUCUAAUAUGAAAUAUUCAGGAACACCAAGAACUUUUGUGCACAUUUCCUUGAAUUCGCUUUGAUAUUCUGCUACGGAUUCUGUUUGGAGUAAUUUACUCAAGCGACCACCCGGUAUUGCAUAGCUGAUACUACUGAAUUUUCUCAAUACAGAUUUUACAAAACUUUUCCAAUCUGUGAGAAAAUUACUAGCCUCCAUCCAUGUGAACCACUUCCUCGCGAUCCCAUCCAAAUGAAAGGAUACUAUUAAUAAUUUUUGUUCCUCUGGUGUCUUGUUGAAUAUAAAGUAUCUUCUUACUUGGUACAACCAUCCUUUUGCAUCGGUACCGUCAAAGCGAGGCAUGCUAACUCUCAAGUGCUUUGCAGGUGUAUAAUGAGGUAUGUCCAGAUCUACCUCAGAAACUGAUGAUACCCUUGGUCCAUCAGACCAGGCCCAUCCCCGACCAGGCCCAGUAGGCCCACUUGACUAGUGAAAGAAGGCUCGGUCCAGUAGGAAAGUGUAUAAAUACCCCUAGGGGUUGAAUGUAGAGGGAAGGGAGACAUUUGUAAUAGAUUAGAUACUGUAAUAGAAAGAUUGUCUGGUAUACACUUAAUACCAAACGAUCAGUGGUGAACCUGACGUGAAUCGAACAUGCAACUUUCUGAUUCCAUGAUCGGUCUAGAUGGCAGAAAAAGAAGAAAUCGACACUCAUUGACCGCGACCCUUCUCUUAUUCUUGGCUUUCUCCUUAUUUACACGGCGUUUUUUUUAAAAAAUUUUUUUUGCGUUCUCUGCAUCUUCAAAACGGUAGCACUGCCUUGAUUCCUCUAGGGUUUCCUCAUUCGUAUAUGUAACGGUUACCGCCAGAGACUCAUCUUUGCGGUGUUGAUUUCGCGUCUAUUUCCGAUUUUACCUAUCGGAUCUCGUCGAUUUUAUUUUAAUCGAUUUUCGAUUUUGGACCAGUUGCUUGAUCUCAUCGUUACUUGAUUAAAGUUGAUUUCAUCUUCUGUUUUUCUGAUUUGUUUUUCGAUUCUCACUGUUGAGUAUUAUCGCGAGAAAGAAAUCCUUGCGGAUUGGAUUCCGAUUUCGUUUUCGUUUCCAAUUUUGUUUUCGAUUUUAAUAGUCGUCGAUAAUUUUCGAUUUUAAUAGUCUUUUCGUUUUGAUUUUAAUAAUUGUUUCUGAUUUUGCGAUUCUUGUGUGUGUGAGAGAGAGAGCCGUUCAGAUCCGAAAUCAUCAAAAACCCCAAUUGUACGAAACGACGUGUCCGUUCUUCUCCGUGUUUUCACUUUUUACAUUCACACUUGUCGUUGUUCUUCUCCACGAUUCUCAUUGUUGAGGAUUUGUUUUGCAAGUCUACUGUUACUGUUUAUUCUCUUUCAUUUGUUUGAUCUACUGUUUAAGUAACGAUCAAUUCCAAGUAAAGAAUCCGCAGAUGCAGAUUCUGGCAGUGCCGGUGGCUACUCACGUAGACAAGUGUAAAUUCGAGAGUCAGUUGGAAUUUCCGAUUUCACACUAUCCUUCCCAUGCUUCUUUCCCCACGAUGUCAAGAACUCAUGACUGACCGAUUACAGUCAGAUCGUUAAUGUCCGAUCGUCGUCCAUUCAUUCUUUGACAAUCCUCUUAUCUCGCCGAUGCUCGCGACAGUCCUUUCGGUUAUUUUCACGUUAUUUCUUCCCAAAGAUGAAUUGUAAGAUCCCAGGUCCCAAGUAUGGUGAUGGCUCGAUCAAGGUAAUGUCUUUUAUAAUACAUUAUUUCUUUUAUCUUUACACAGUUCAAGCCCAUCUCAAUCUUAAAUAAAAUACAUAGUUGUAAAAAAAUACAAGUCAAGUUUUCUCUUUUCUCGUUGAGAAACCAAACCAGACUCGAGACUUGCAGAGUGCUUCUAGAGAAAUUCAGAGACCUGGGUUCUAUAUGAACUUCUCCAAUCCAUAAAUCAGAUUCUGUGAAAUGGCAUUGUCGUGAGCAAACACGGAUACAUUCAAUGAUCUGGAAAAACAUUAGAGGAAAUAAGGAUUACCUUUAGACGCGCUACCUUCCUGAUACAUUCAAUGAUCUGGAAAAACAUUAGAGGAAAUAAGGAUUACCUUUAGACGCGCUACCUUCCUGAUGGCUAGCAGCAAACUUGGCAUCAGAGAUUUAACAUAUGUGAUAUCGUGUCUGAUAGUAUAAACCUGUUUUUCUUCUUCUAUGUAGAACCGUGCUGUGUACUCGUAUGCCAUCUUCACCCAAAACCUGCCCCCUUGCCUUUAAAUUUAUGUAAACAAAAUUAUUGCCACUUAGAUUUGCCAACACAUCUUAUUUUCUAUAUCCAUUAGAGAAUAGAGAUACUUUGAAGUUUGAACUGUGAAAGAAAAAAGAAUAAUGUGGAGCAGCUUACUGCAACAUCGGUGGAUAGAUCUUCUUUGUUGUAUAGCUGACCAAGAUCAGAUAAAUUGUCGGCAAGUUGGUUUGCAUCAGGGUGUGGUCGUGAUUCCACAAUCUCCACAUUUCUGUAAUGGAAAGAUGCUUGAAUAGCAGUUUGCUGAAGGAGGACUGAACCUAUAGAAAGGGUUGGAGCAACUAAGAAAACAAGCUUCGUGAAUUGCUUGUAAACGUAGCAAGAUGUAACAUUUUCCAAGAAAACUGCAAAGAAUGAAGGGGAGUGCCAUUGAAUAUCGAUGGGAAUGAAGAGGUCACCCAGUACUAUGUUCCGUCUAUAUCUGUAAUCCAGUUAUACGCACACUCCAAUUUCAGUCCAAGGUAUGAUGAUUUUCUGUUCAAAGCAAUAUCUUGCUCCGCAAUACUACAUUUCGAAUUACAAUUUCUCAUUUUAUUAGAAUAUUAUACAAUUACAGCAUUAUAUUUCUAAGGCUUUAGAUAGGUUUGUAUCGAUACAUUAGAUUUCCUUGAAACUAAUAGGUAUCGAACUAUCAACAUCAUUUCAAAUAAAAAGUAAUAAUAGGAUUAUAGUAUAAAUGUUUUAAUCAUAUAUUUCAAUUACCUGGUAGUAUUGUGUGCUCUUUUGAUUUAAAAUGCCGUAAAUAAUGGCUAAUCAUGAAUAUGGAAUUUGCUAAAACAAUCCUUGACUCCUUGAUAUGAUGUUAACAGAAAAUCUUGGUUUUGUUUAAUCCAUCACAUAUGAUAUUUUUAUAACACAGUUAUUUUCCAACACCUUAUAAGAAAACCAAUUUGUCUCAAAUUAAAAUGUUGUGCAUGUUAUUCCAUAUUUUUUACGUCUUUCAUUUCUCUACAUUUGUAAUACACAUUUUGUAUCAUUGCUAUGCCCCCCACCCUUUUAUUUUUUAGAAAUAAAACCUUCCUUUUACAAAAAAAAAAGAUGUUUCCACAUUUGCACAUUAUUAUAAUCAGGUCUCACUUUGUUAUAAUUGGGUGAUAACAAAAUAGUUAGUAACCAUACUAAUCCUUAGGUGUGCAGUUAACUACACUCACUACAAAAAAAAGGACCUUGUAUGGCGGUCUUUAGAUGGCGGAUUUCCGCCAUCUAAAGUGAUCCUCGGCGGAAAUCCGCCAUCUAAAGGCCGCCAUCUAGGACACCGCCAUUAAAACCCAUAAACCGCCAUCUAAAGACCGCCAUCUAUUAUCCAUCCCCAUUUCCCACCAAAAAUAGUUUAGAUGGCGGAUUUCCGCCAUCUAAACUGAAAAUUUUGGCGCGAAUUGAAAAGUUUUAGAUGGCGGAUUUCCGCCAUCUAAAAUAUGGCGCGGGAAUAGUUUGGCGCCAAUUCAUUGAUGGCGGUUAAUUUCAUUGACGGCGGAUGUCCGCCGACUAUCCCUGUACCUUUAGAUGGCGGAUUUCCGCCAUCUAAAGUACAGCAGGCGGUUCCCUUAGUUUAUAGAUGGCGGAUAUCCGCCAUCUAUUCGUGGGAGAGGGCGAUUGUGCCCAGCUUUAGAUGGCGGAUUUCCGCCAUCUAAAACUAAGUAGAAGAGUUUAGAUGGCGGAAAUCCGCCAUACAAUGUUUUUUACAUUUUUUUUUUAAAACAGGAUUCUAUAUUGUGCGUUCGAAUCGUUGUUUGUCGAAAUAAAAGCGAUAUUUGAGGAAACGAUUUGAAAUAGAAAUGGAAAUCGAUGUUUUUUAUUAAAAAGAAAUUAAAUUACAGAAUCGUUAAACAUUCGAAGUUUUAAUAAGAAAAAAAAAAUUGUUUAUCAACACUCGUCUUCUGAAUCAGAAUCAGAAUCUUCUGAAUCAGAAUCAGAAUUAUCUGAUCCGAAUGCAGACGGUAUUGUUGACUUUGAAGUAGAAGCCAUCUGCGUCAUGUCUAGUCCAGAAGUCUUCAAAGUCUUGUUCAAUUUCUUCAUAUAGGAUUUCAUAGCAUUGAACUUUUUCUUGUAUUUCGAGACGUCUUUUUGACUCUCGUUACACUUGUUCUGAAAAUGAAAACAACAAUGAGUUCGGUAAUCAACAAAAUUAUUAAAAUAUAUUGUAAAUACCUCCAAUGCUUUGAAUUUUUCCGACCAUACUGCAUCUGGUGGUGCAUCAACAGUCGUGCUCUCUGAGAUCGGGUCUUUUCAUGCAAAUUAAUUAAUCAUUAUUAAUUCAAUUUAAAAUCAUUCAAUUUAAUUAAAAAAUAAAUAAUUAAUUAUUUUAUGCAAAUUAAUAAUUAUUGAUAAAAUUUAAAAUAAUUCAAUUUCAUAAUUAUUAAUUCAAUUUCAUAAUUAUUUAUUAACAUUUCUAAUAUUUCAUGCAAAUUAAUUAGUCAUUAUUAAUUCAAUUUAAAAUCAUUCAAUUUAAUUAAAAAAUAAUUAAUUAAUUAUUUUAUGCAAAUUAUUAAUUAUUGAUAAAAUUUAAAAUAAUUCAAUUUCAUAAUUAUUAAUUAACAAUUUCAUGCAAAUUAAUUAUUAUUGAUAGCAUUUACAAUCAGUCAAUUUAAUAAUUACUAAUUAACAAAUUUAUAUAUAUUUACAUGCAUGCAAAUUCAUUAAAUAUUUUUAAAACAAAAAGAUUAAAAAAAAUGUAUAAUUUUCAUACCGCAAUAUAGCUUAAUUCAAUCCAAAUUUAUUGGAUUCUUGAUUUUUCAAAAUUAACCUACAUCAAGUCAACAACAUCAAGUCAAAUAAUUUUUUAAUUUAAAAUAUGAAUUGUAAUAAAUAUGAAAUAAUUGUAAAAUAAUUGCAAUAAUUGUAAAAUAAUUGAUUAAUUUAAAAUAUGAAAAACUUUCAUUAAUUAAUUAUUUAAAAACAGUAUGUCAUUUAAUUAAUUCAAAACAUUAUUUAAAUUAUUUUAAUAACUAAUUAUUUUAAUUUUAAAUUAUUAAGACACAGUAAUUACAUUUUUUCUAAUUAUUUAAUUAACAUUUUAAUUAACAGAUUAAUUUGAUACAAUUUUAUAAUUAUUAGUUAACACAUUUAUAAUUACAUGCAAAUUAAUUAAUUACAAGUAUAAGACAAAAUAAUUUAUUUAAUUACUUAAUUUUUAAAUUAUUUAUUUUUUUAUUUAAACAAAUUAUUAAUUAUUUAAUUCAUAACAGAAAAUAAUAUAAAGAAUUUCAGUAAUUUUAAAAUUAUUUAAAAUUAUUUUAAUUAAUUAUUUUGAUUCUAACUAUUAUCUUGAUUCAUAUUCUUUGAUUCACAUUUGAUUCAUAAUUAUUCAUAAUUGAUUCAUAUUUAUCUAAUUAUUCUUAACAUAAGACAAAACAGUGUAAUUACUAAAGAAUUUCAGUAAAUUCUUAUCAUCUCCUUGAUUCAUUUGAUAUGUAAUUACUAAAGAAUUUCAGUAAUUACUAAAGAAUUACAAAACAUUUGAUAUGUAAAUUCUUAACAUUUGAUUCAUAAGUAAAUUUCAAUACACAAACAUAUCAUCUCCUUGAUUCAUAAAUAACAUAAAUACGCCAUCUACAAAUAACAUAUCAUCUCCUUUCUUAACAUAUCAUCAUUCACAAAACACAAAAAUAUAAGUAACACAAAAAUCCGUCAUCUACAAUAAGUAACAUAUAAGUAACAUGGAUUCAUUGAAAUCCGUCAUCUACAAACAUAUCAUCUCCUUUCUUAAUUAACAGAACACAAAAACACAAAACACAUUUAAAACACAAAACACAAAAACACAAAUCACAAAACACGAAACACAAAACCCUAAAUUCAAUACACAAAACACAAAUAAUAGAUAAACCAUUUCAUUUUAUUAUUAUUUGAUAACAAUCAUUAACCAUUUGAUACAACCAUUUUAUCUACAACCAUAGAAUAAACAAUAUAAUCAAUAAACACCAACAUAAACAAUAUAGACACCAAGAAAAACAAUAUAAACACCAACAAGUACAUAUAAAAUGGUGUUAGGGUGGGAAUAAUACAUUCGAUCGAGGAUGAUCGGAGUAGAUCCGAUUCUCGACGGAAUUAAGUUCGAUUUCAUCGGAACCCAUUCUGAUCUCACCAGAACCGUGAAUUCUGGUCUACAUUCUCGGGGAGAUUGUAGUGGUACCGAUUUAUAAAUAUUGAUUUAUUUUGCUCGAAAUAGUUAAACUGAUUUUUUUUAUGAUAACUUGAGAAUACUGAUUUUAAUGAAUCGAUUAAUCUUUGCUAUGAGAUGAUGAAUGUGAUGUAAAGAUGAUGAAGGUCUAAGAUUAAAUGACAAUUAACAGAAUAUUUAAUUAACUGUGCAUGAGUACGUCGAUGGGUUGUUAAAAAAUACAUGAAUAGUUUAUUAUUUAAAGCAUGUGAAGUGUGGGGAGAUUGAUGAAUGAUGAUGUAAAGACCGAUGUAUUGGAAAUGCAUGACUUAUUUGUUGCUAAAGAAUAGACAAAACACAUUCACAUUCACAAUAACUCAUUACACAAAACACAAAUCACAAAUCAUAAACACAAAAAAUACACAAAACACAAAUCAUAAACAUAAACACAAUAACUCAUUAUCACAUUCACAUUCACAGUUGAAGAAGAAGAAGAAGAAAAAUCCUAAACUAAAUUACCCAAAAUAAUACCUUCACAGAUAGGCAGAGAACUCCGGACGGCGGCAGAGGAUUCGGCGACCGACGGCGGCGAGAACUCCGGACGACGAGACGAUGACGAGCGGCGACGAGCAGCGGCAGCAGUAGGCAAACGGCAGCGGCAGCAGUAGGCAGAAAUGUGAGAAGACGCGUUCUGUCGAUUUGGGGUUUUUAAUAAACCCCAAAACUUACAUGGCGGAUUUCCGCCAUAUAAGUACACUUAAGUGCCGCUAGCACUUAAGUGAAAGUCCGCCCAAUCGAAAUUUGGGCGGGCUUUUUCCGCCCGAGUCCCCGAAGACUUAAGAUGGCGGAUUUCCGCCAUCUUAAGUCAAUUUAAUCGGGUAAUCGGGCUGGAAAUUGGGGGCGAUUCGAAAUUUUGGGCGGGAUAGUUUAGAUAGCGGAAAUCCGCCAUCUAAACACCGCCAUCGAAAAAAAUUUCGAACCGCCGUCGAGCCAAAACGUUUCCUCGGCGGACUGAAAGAAUAGAUGGCGGACAUCCGCCAUCUAAACUAUUGAAGUAUUGAUGGCGGAAAUCCGCCAUCUAAAGUCCGCUAUACAAGGUCCUUUUUUUUGUAGUGACUGUACUUUCUAAAUUUUAAACUCUUUUUAUACAUAAGGCAAUGAUCAGUUAGAAGAUUUAUGUACAUGAGUUUCAUAAAAAUGAGAUUCUUGAAUAGUUUUACAUUUAAUUCUGACAAAAUUUGAACAAUUUGGGAUAUGCAAUUUGCAUGCAAAAUUCAAAUGAAGGGUAAAAAAUGAUGUUAAUGAAGGGCAAAAAUUUCAAUUUCAAUUUCAAAUUCAAAUUAAAUUGAUUAAAUUCUUAAUGCCAUAUUGCCAUCUAUGAUCUAACUGUCUAUUUAAAUAUUAGCUAUAUUUAUUAUUAUUUCUAAAUUAUUACGCAUAAUUUUCGAAAUUGUGAAUUAAGUAUGAACUAUUUGAUCAUAUUAUUAUAUAUGAAACAUCGCCACCCGCCACAAAAUGCCGUAGGGCAAUUAAUGAGGUCGAAAGACCAAACAAGGCCACCCGUUUGCACCUGGCUACGCUACUGGCCCCGGAUCCAUCUCUGGGUCGGCGGAAAUUGAUUGUCUAGGAAGUUCCCAUCAGAUAUAUGCAAGUUGCAUACCUGAUCACCUUUGGUAUAGAACAGAACAAAUUCAUCGGUAAAAUUUCUUUAGACAUUGGCAGUUGCAAGUCUUUGCAGAGUUUAAAACUCCAUGAAAACAUCUUCUCCUCGGAGAUUUACCCAAAGAGAUCGGCAAUCUCUCCAACCUGGUCAUGUUCAACAUCUCACACAAGAAUCUCACUGGCAUAAUCCCACCAGAGAUCGUGAGUUGUAGAAGACUCCAGCAAAUUGAUCUCCGUGGAAACUCAUUUUCUGGGGUUUUACUAGAAAAUCUCGGAAACCUCUAUUGGAAGUGUUGAUUGGUGAAGCGGAAGAAAAUGAAAACAGGGAAAGAGAAGAUUGAGAGGAGCCAACCAUUGCCAAGAAGAAGAAAACACACACAAGAAGGAUUUAGGCCUAUGAACGAGUGAUUAAUUAGCUCUUAUUUGAGGGUGUUUAUAUACACUUGUUUGUAACAAAUUCCAUAACAAAUGUGAGUGAGGUUUGUUACUUUAAUAACAAAUAACAAGAUUAUACAUAAAUAUAUAGAACUAGUUUCAGGUGAGCCAAAGCGCACAUGCGCCGAAAAAAUUUCGGCCGUUAGAUCAUAAUCCGUUGACUGACGAUUUAUUAUUUAUCAACAACUAAAUUAUAUACAACGAGUUGUACGUCGUAUGUUACAUUAUCCUCGAGUUGUACUCGUUACCCGUAUUACGUUGUAUUGACACUUUUUUGGCGCAUGUACGUCCUAAUUAUAUAUCCAAUAACCUCACCCAACUGGAGCUUCUCAUUAUUUCCGAUAAUAAGAUCUCAGGAUCUAUCCCACCAGUGUUGGGUUCACUUCGGUAUUUGACGGAGUUACAGAUGGGUGGGAAUAGAUUCACCGGUAGAAUUUCACUAGAGUUCGGAAAGCUGUCAAGUUUACAAAUCAGUUUAAGCCGGGUUAUUGGGCAUUGGGUAACGUUUUCCAGGUAGGAUGUUAUGGGUCACCAUGCGGGUUAUCGGGUAUUCGAAGACGGGUAUAUACUGUGGGUUAAUUUAAUGAGGGGCAAAUCAGGAAAAAAAUUAUAUAACACACCCUAACCACCUAAACAAUAGGCUUGGUGGGUAGUUUUGAACACCAAGCCAUCUUAGGUGGCUAGAAUCAAAACCUGCACAUAUAUAGAGAGAGUUAGUUUCAGGUGCGCCAAAGCGCACAUGCGCCAGUUAAUUCAUUUUAAAACAUAUAGAGAGAGCUUUAUAUAUAUGUUUAAAACAUAAAUAUUUUAACAAGCCACCACUAGUUUGUUCAACCCUCAACAACCGACUUCUCUCAGACUUGUAAAUAGAUCAUUGGCUUCUCGUCUUGUUCAUCGUCGGAAGAUGCAGUGUCGUGAUCUGUGUACUUAUAACCAAACCAUUUUUGUCUUCCUCCGCUCUGACAACGGCCUUAGAUGCAACUUGAUCACUUGUUCUGAAUACACGAGAUAGGAUAGAAAAGGAGGUUACCACUUAUGCCUCUCCCCAACCCUACUUGACCCUCAUCCGUCGUUACAGACGAGCUGGAAUGCCGGCGGCUGCCAUCCGUACUUACAAAUUCUAUGCCACUUGUUCCGAUGAAAAUGAUGACGGAGAGGUGUUCGAUGGUUUGAUCGACUCACUUUGCAAAGAAGGGCACACAAGGAUAGCCUCCGAUUAUAUGGCUGGAAGAGAAGUUAAGGUGGCAAGUGUUUGAUGCUACAACAUUCUUCUUAAUGGAUGGUUCCGAGCACGAAAGCUUGAUGAAGCUGAUCAGAGACUGUGGGUUGAGAUGCGAAGUAAAGGGGUUCGUUCGAUGGUUGUCAGUUACGGGACCAUCAUAGAAGAAGGGCUAUGUCAAAUGCGUAGGGUCGAUGACACAAUGAAGAUGAUUGACGAAAUGAAGAGAAAGAAAGGAGGGGAGGUAGAACCCAAUGUGAUCGUACUCAAUCCAAUUAUUGAUACUCUUGCAGAGGGUAAGAGGUUUAAGGAGGCAUUGAGUGAUGUUGAGAAGUUCCCUCUCUAUGUCAUCUCCCCAAGUAUCUCCACAUUCAAUUCUCUCGUUAAAGGAUUUUGCAAGAAUGGAGAUAUAAUGGAGGCAAGUGCGGUUAUGAAGAUGAUGAUAAGACGUGGAAUUUUUCAAACAACAACUACUUAUAACUAUUUUUUCAGAUUCUUUUCAAGAUGCGGUGUGUGUAGAAUCAAAAUUGUCAACAUAGGAUUAUAUUUUAAUCAUGUUAAUUUUAACCUUAAUUACACUAUUAAUCUAAAGGGUAAAAUUAGUCAAGAUUAGACCUAACUCUAAAUUAAUUAAGUCAAAGGUCUAAAUCAUAGUCAAGAUUGGAAUUGGUACAAUUGUAUAAAACACCUUGAAUAUAAUAAUUAUUGUUAUUAUCUCUAACACUUUAUUCAAGGUACAAUAUACCAUGAGCAAAAGCUACUAUUCAUAAAGAAUCUUCUCAAAAAGACAAAAGAUAGCUUGGAUAGAAUUCACUAUUAACAAAAGUAAUUAGCUUGAAUGGAAUCCACUAUUCAUAAAAGAAUCUUCCCAAGAAUAGAGAAGAUAAGUCUUGGACUCUUGUGAGGAAUCAAGAAGUCAUCCAAUGAAAAUCCAAGGGUGAACAAAAAAUGACCAAGGCUAUAAAUAAAGGGAUAACCCUCUCAUUUUCAUUCAUCACACUUCAAGCACUUCAAAGAGCUUUCACUCCGCAUCUUGAGAUCUCCAAAGUGUUCUUUCUUCCAAGCUUCCAACAGUUUUCAAGUGUUCUAGCUUUUUAAAGCUGCAAAAGCUCUCCAACUUCUACUUCUAAUCCUCUUGUUCAUCUUUAUAAGUAAAAAGUUUUGUGUGCUUAAUAUUUCAAUCCUCUAAUCAUCUCUUGUGUGUGUCCACUUUGGUUAAGAGGUUUGUUUGAAUAUCACCAAAGUGUGAGAGAAGAUUUUUGAGCUCAACCAUAAAGCUCUAAGUUGGUUCUAUAGAGUUUCUUGGAAAACUCUUAGGUCGAAUCUAUUUUGAAAGAUUUUUAGAUUUUUAAGAGUUCCUUGAUACUCUAAGGUGUGAGUCUACCCGUAAAAGACUGGUUCCUAAGCGAAGUUAGCCUUAAAGCUUAGAGAGGUUUUUAAGAGUUUCCUUGAUAUUUUAAGGUGUGAGUCUACUCGUAAAAGACUGGUUCCUAAGCGAAGUUAGCCUUAAAGCUUAGAGAGGUUUUUAAGAGUUUUCUUGAUACUCUAAGGUUUUGUCAUAACCUUUAGGCUUGUGAACUUUGAUAGUUUGUCAGGACUGGAUUAACCCUUGUUUGGGUGAACCAGUAUAAAUUCCCUUGUGUUGCUCUUUGUUAACUUUAGUAUUUAUCUAUUAUCUAAAAACAAUUAAAUAACACUUAAUUGAAAAGGAUCCAUCUUCCAGUUAUCUGGUCAAGAAUAGAGGUUGACUAUUUUCCGCAGAUCCCUCAUCCAGUUAUCUGUUCAAUUAUCUGAGGUUAUAUUCAUUGUUCAAAUCUCUAUCCAGUUAUCUGGUCAAACAUUUACUUAUUAUAUAUAAAUUCAGUUAACUGGUCAUUUACUCUAUAAUAUAACAUGCGUUUAUGAUAUAGCUUAGUAUUCAUAUACUACAAUUGUUUAUAAAACACUAUCUAAUAAGUUGAAUAAGUAUUCAUAUAUGGUAGUAAACUUUGAAAAGAAAAAGCAAGUUUCAUAUAUAUAUAUAAUACCGCUCUUAAACUGUACAAAUCGAAAAGAGGUUAUUAUCUCCAUUUAUAGUCUCGGAUCACGAUCCAACAGUGGGUACAAUCCAGAUUGAUUGACCUACCAUCUCUUGAUCAGAAUGGCAUAUCAGGGGGAGGAGGUGGAAUAAAUUUGGCUGUGAGGUUGAUCAGAUAUAUGAAUGCAAAGGGAUUUGAUUCGGAUUUAGCAACGAGCACGAUGUUGAUUAUGUAGAAAUAAGAUUCUCAAUGACAUAUUUAGUUGUUAAUUAAUUUAAAGUAUAAUAAUAUUGACAUAGAUAAAAUUGACUUGAUAUAUGAUUAAACUAAAAAGAGAUCAAUAAUAUUAUUUUCAUCAAACAAAUCUCUAUUAUUAAUCAAGUUAAUUAUUGAAGCUUGUAUUUAAUUAUGCACACAUAUUUGCUUGCAUUAACUCUUAUUUUAAGUUGAUCAAUGUCUUAAAGGUUAAUCAACAAGGUGUGAAAAGCUACAACUAUUCAUUCAAGCUUCAAAUGAACCCAAGAUGUAGAAAACAUGUAGAAGUGCAAUCAUGACAAAGAUUCCAAGAGCAUAUCCAACAUAUUAACUACAAAGAUCUUGGAUUCAAUGCUACACAAAAUCCUAGUUGAAGAGUUCAAAUUGAAGAAGUGCAAAAACGUGUGGAGGCUCAAUCUCCCAAGAUGAAAUCCAAUCAUGAUCUUGGAUUUAAUGUUACACAAUCUCCCAAGAUGAGAAUUCAAAUCCAGGUGAAGCUCUCCACCAAUGAAAAUCGUCCAUGGAGUAUUCAAUGAGAGUUUUUGAAUCUCUUCUUCCUAGGUGUUUUGAAGAUGAAGAAUUUACCUCUACACCAUCAACGUCUACUAUAAAAGGAGGUGCACACCCAAGAGCUAAAGUCAUCACUUGCCAUCUUUGUUAAAUCUCUCCUUGGAUCAAAGCUCUACUUUCGUUCUCUCUUGCCCUUGUUCAAGCUCUAGCUCUCGUUCAAGCUUUGUGUGGGAGUUGCUCUCAAGGUUGUGUGCUCUAGUUCUUCAACUUCUUCUUCCCCUCUUGUACGUUGAGAGUGUGCUAGAAGAAAAACUCUACAUCUUGUAAGUGGUCCAAGUGUUGUGAGAGGUGUGUCUCGAUACCAACACUUGUAAGGUUUAACGAGUUCAAUCAUAAAACUCGGUGUGAUUUUAUAGAGUUUCUAGAAAACUCUUAGAUCGAAUCUGCCUUAAAGGUUCAAAGGUUUUUAAGAGUUCCUUAAUACUCUUAGAGGGUUCACAAGCGUUUAGCUUUAAAGCUUGGCAGAGGUUUUUUAAGAGUUCCUGAAUACUUUUAGGUGGUUUACAAACGUUUAGACUUAAAGCUUGGCAGAGGUUUGUAAGAGUUCCUGAAUACUCUUAAGUGGUUCACAAGCGUUUAGCCUUAAAAACUUGGCAAAGGUUUUUAAAAAUUCCUGAAUACUCUUAAGUGGUUUACAAGCGUUUAGCCUUAAAGUUUGACAGAGGUUUCGCCAUUACCUUCAGGCUAGUGAUCUCCGUCUUUCAUCGCAACUAGAUUAGCCCUUGUUUAGGUGAACCAUUAUAAAAAUCUGUGUCUCUUUUACUUUCUGUUUUUCUAUUUUUAAAAGUCUUAACAAGAUAAAAACAACUAAAAAGAGAUCCCUCAUCCAGUUAUCUGGUCAUUAACUGAGGUUACUUUCAGUACAAAUAUAUCCAGUCAUCUGG